CACGUAGGGCGCAAGCGUUGUCCGGAAUUAUUGGGCGUAAAGAGCUCGUAGGCGGUCUGUUGCGUCCGCUGUGAAAACCCGGGGCUUAACCCUGGGCUGGCAGUGGAUACGGACAGACUAGAGGUAGGUAGGGGAGAAUGGAAUUCCCGGUGUAGCGGUGAAAUGCGCAGAUAUCGGGAGGAACACCGGUGGCGAAGGCGGUUCUCUGGGCAGUAACUGACGCUGAGGAGCGAAAGCGUGGGGAGCGAACAGG
rnacentral:rRNA from 1 species